rnacentral:tRNA from 1 species
GGAUUGUGCCUCAGUGGUAGAAUGCUCGCCUAGCACGUGGGAGGCCCUGGGUUUGAUCCUCAGCACCA